UGCCGCGUGCAGGAUGACUGCCCUAUGGGUUGUAAACUGCUUUUGUCCAGGAAUAAACCUAAAUACGUGUAUUUAGCUGAAUGUACUGGAAGAAUAAGGAUCGGCUAACUCCGUGCCAGCAGCCGCGGUAAUACGGAGGAUCCGAGCGUUAUCCGGAUUUAUUGGGUUUAAAGGGUGCGUAGGCGGCCUAUUAAGUCAGGGGUGAAAUACGGUGGCUCAACCAUCGCAGUGCCUUUGAUACUGAUGGGCUUGAAUCCAUUUGAAGUGGGCGGAAUAAGACAAGUAGCGGUGAAAUGCAUAGAUAUGUCUUAGAACUCCGAUUGCGAAGGCAGCUCACUAAGCUGGUAUUGACGCUGAUGCACGAAAGCGUGGGGAUCGAACAGGAUUAGAUACCCUGGUAGUCCACGCCCUAAACGAUGAUAACUCGAUGUUGGCGAUAGACAGCCAGCGUCCCAGCGAAAGCGUUAAGUUAUCCACCUGGGGAGUACGCCCGCAAGGGUGAAACUCAAAGGAAUUGACGG
rnacentral:rRNA from 1 species